CAGGUACUGAGGUCGGCGCCGCUCUAUCCUCGCUACCUCUGUGGUCAGUGCCCCCGCGGCCGACUUUUCAUUGGGGUGCAGUUUUAUAGGCGAAACAAUAAUCAACAUUAUGCAGGGCACAGAAAAGGAACAUGAAGCUGUAUGCCAAAUAAAUUCUCAUCUCUCUUUUUCAUGAUCUCAUCAACUCCAUCCAACCAAAACUGGAAUGGGACAACUUGCUGCAUUAGACAAGGUAGACUAGACUAGAUGAAUUUGACGAUUUGAAUACGUCUAGAACUGACAAGUGUUCUCUUACUUUAUUUUUGCAUAUUUUAAUUUGCAUUCCUAACCUGUCAUAUACAGUUCUGCUUUUGUGGUAUUGAACUGGACUGAGCUUUUAUAACUGUUUUUCAGAAUUUCCCAAGCUUCUUGAGUUGAUUUUCCCUUUAAGAUUUGCAUCCAUGGACUUCCGGCAGUGACGUCAGAGCGGUGUGGGUGAGGGUGCGAUCUAUAGCUCCUGAAAGCCCAAUUAAUUCCUGAAAAGGAGCUCUUUAAGGGGAUUUCUGAACCCGGAGGGCUCGGAAUACUAAAGGGAAAGGUUUUAAGACUUUGGAUGAUACACUAGUGUCCUGGAGAAUAAAACUGAACUCCUUAAAUCCAGCGGGGAAAAACUGUCCUUAAGGCAGAUCGAGAGCGAUGGCGGCCGCAAAGUGAGGAAGCAAAAAGUGGAUUCAGCAUCGGUGGUCAUGGAAGAUCGGGGGGGAAAAAAAGAAAGUGAGAUUUUUAAUAAGCAGAAUCACGAAACGAGAGAGGCACAGAGGGAAAAGAAAACGGGAAUUGGGAAGGAAAGUGCUUAAUGGAGAGAUGAUCAAAUGAAGACAUCAGUGAAACAGUGUAAUAGAAGUGGCGGAAGAAGUUAUCAACAAAGGAGAUACAAAGUAACAAACUGAAAUAUUUGGACUUGAGUUAAGGACUUAUCGCAAGGGGAAAAAAGAGUAAAUACAGCACAAGAAGGAAGAAACAUUGAAGGUAUAUAUAAACUUUGGAUUUAAAAAUUAAAGAAGUUCUUUCCUUAAAUCAGUGGACUGAGAAGGAGAUAAUUUUGAAAGAAAUUUACAGAUAGAUGUGUGGACAAUUGUGGACUUAUAAAUAUUAAGAAGAAAGUAAAGUGUAGUGGGAAGAGGAAAAAAAAGAGAUACAGAAGAAAACAAAAUACAAAGGGAGAGUCUGGGAGUACUUAGAGAUUGUGUGGUAGAAUAGAAAAUGACUAAGCUUGAACUGUGUGAUAGAAAAAAUCUGAUGCAAUAAGGACUGGAGAGAAGAAAAUCAGAAAAGAACCCCCCAAAAAGGAAAAGUCUGGUUGGAAUUUAAUAUACUUAUACUUACUUACAGAAAUUGUAAUCUGAGGGGGCAGGAAGUUGUGUUUGUUAAUAACUUUUGAAAAAGGGGAAGUUAUAGAAUAUAUUGCUAAGAAUAAUCAAUGUUAAAGAACUGUUUGGAUAAGUGUUGAAGAAACCAAAGGGAAGAUAUACCUUGAUUAUUUGGUAUUUUAUAAUAAUUAUAGUGAAAAUAUUUGAAAAAGAAUAAAUACUUAAUUAAUUAA